ACAGUACAAACUGAGCAGGCGAUGAACCUUUGUGUAAAGAAGGUCAUGGGGCCGGGCCGUGAGUAGCGGCAGCAGAUUGCAAGUAUGCACAUCUGUGGGACAGUA
rnacentral:ncRNA from 2 species